GAACAAUAGAACACUCACGCUCCAGAAGGCCAUGAAAGAAUACAGCCAUGAUCUUCCUUCAUGCAGGUAGAACAUGACACUCACGCUCCAGAAGGCCAUGAAAGAAUACAGCCAUGAUCUUCCUUCAUGCAGGUAGAACAUGACACUCACGCUCCAGAAGGCCAUGAAAGAAUACAGCCAUGAUCUUCCUUCAUGCAGAUUAUCAUUCCGUUCUUCAGUCUACUCUUGAAGGACAUUUACUAUCUGAACGAGGGCUGCGCAAACAAACUCUCUAACGGUUACGUCAACUUUGAGAAUUUCUGGCAGCUUGCCAAGCAGAUCGGCGAAGUCAUGAAUUAGAAGGGGAUAGAGUGCCCAUUCCAGACGCGGCCGGAGAUCAUAGACUAUCUCAUCACGACACCAGUGUUUUCUGAAAACGCGCUCGCGUUAGCAUCAUUCGAGUGCGAACCGCCUGAGACCAACUAUGGCAAAAAGCAAUACAAGCAGCUAAAGCUUGCAUUGAGGUGAACAGAUCAACUACUACAUCCCAGUGGCACAAACCUAUGCAGCUGUAAUCGCUUGUGAGAAAAUGGUGGACCCCUCUGUGAGCGUUGUAAAUGAUUUUGCCGGAACGAUGUGUCGCCGCUACCAUCACGUCUCGAUAGUAACGAUAUGUAGGGAAAGAGUAUUUAAUUUUUGAUGAUUAUUUUUGUACGCGCGUAUACGGUACCGCGACUGCGCGAAUUCGCCAUGACGAUGCCUCGCGCGCGUCUUGAUUCGUGGCGCAUCGUCUUUUGAAUGGAGGACUCGCGCGAGGCGAGUGUUCAAUAUGGUGGCGUUCGGUCGUCACUGUCGGCAGUAGGUGUGCGUCGCUGAACGAACCCAAUCCCGUAUCGCGAUUUCACCGAGCGUAUGCAUCUCUGCCUGCCCUAAACAACACAGAGUCUUAGCUAACUC